UUGAUACUAGUCCUUAUGUUUCCAUUACAGACAUUUAUCAUCAGUAAAAUGCAGAAGUUGUCUAAGGAAGGAUUACAACGUACAGACAAGAGAAUUGGCCUUAUGAAUGAAGUUUUGGCAGCUAUGGACACUGUAAAAUGUUAUGCAUGGGAAAGUAAUUUUCGGUCUAUCUUGAUUAAUUUCUUUUGCAUGCAAACAAGAAUCACAUGAUGAUGUGUAGUGUAGUGC